rnacentral:rRNA from 1 species
CAGUAGCCACGGGAAUACGGAGGGUGCAAGCGUUAAUCGGAAUUACUGGGCGUAAAGCGCACGCAGGCGGUCUGUCAAGUCAGAUGUGAAAUCCCCGGGCUUAACCUGGGAACUGCAUUUGAAACUGGCAGGCUAGAGUCUUGUAGAGGGGGGUAGAAUUCCAGGUGUAGCGGUGAAAUGCGUAGAGAUCUGGAGGAAUACCGGUGGCGAAGGCGGCCCCCUGGACAACACUGACGCUGAGGCACGAAAGCGUGGGGAGCAAACAGGAUUAGAUACCCGAGUAGUCCCUGUCUCUUAUACA